rnacentral:rRNA from 1 species
CAGUAGCCACGGGAAUACCAGCACCUCGAGUGGUCAGGAGGUUUAUUGGGCCUAAGCAUCCGUAGCCGGUUGCAUAAGUUUUCGGUUAAAUCUAUGCGCUUAACGUAUAGGCCGCCGAAAAUACUGUGCAGCUAGGGAGUGGGAGAGGUACACGGUACUCGAUAGGAAGGGGUAAAAUCCUUUGAUCUACUGAUGACCACCUGUGGCGAAGGCGGUGUACCAGAACACGUUCGACGGUGAGGGAUGAAAGCUGGGGGAGCAAACCGGAUUAGAUACCCGCGUAGUCCCUGUCUCUUAUACA